CCGUUCCAUCUCCUCCUCCGGCCGCCAGCCUCCUCUUUGCCCCUAUUCUUCACUGCCGGCGACUUCGGACGCCGCUGCGCCACGCGAGGUGGCUAGGCCGCCACCGUCCUCCACGCCUGGAACUACCCGUUGUUGACAUCCUGCCGUGGAUGCGUCUGGUGAAAAAAAUGGCGCCCUCCACCUUCUCAUCAUCGCCGACGACAGCAGCCAGCGGCGUAGCAGCCUGGUCUCCUCCACCUUAGAUGCGUAAAGGAACUGCAGGUACUCCCCUCUCUCUCUCUGAAUCCCUUUCCCUUGCUCUUUUGACCUGAUGUGAUGUUGCUUGGAGCUGGUGUGCAGCAGCCUGCCCUCCUCCACCUCGUUUUUGCCAAGGACCUGCAGGCCGUCUCUCUCUGGAUCCCUUUUCCUCUACCAUUUUGGCCUGAUGUGUUGGCGCUUGGAGCUGAUGUGCACCUCUUCCUACGAGAUCAGAUGAGUUCCUCCUACUCUUCCUUGUCCAUGUAUUUAUUCUAAGUGACUUCACAUAUCAUAUCUCUGUAACUGCUAGCUGCUGUAAGGAAAACAACAAGCCAAGAAAAAAGAGUAGACUCAAGAUUCAAGAGCAAGUAUGAAUCUGAACUGUUGUUGCUGCUCACCUCCUCUUUGGUCAUGUCUCAAGGCUUUGUUUCUGGGUAGUGGCGGCUUGGCCGCCGCCAGCUUCGCACCAUCUACACCUUCAGUCCUCGGCUCCUCUUCAUCGCGCACAUGAGCGGAAGGAGGCCAGCAGAAGAUGGCUCGAGAGCGAGCCGUCACGCCGUCGUCCUCAACAUCGUGGAGCGCGCAGGCUAGAGUCCCUACUCCAGCCCUUUUUCACAAUAGGUUCUUCCCUCUUUCUCUCGCAAUUCCAUACUUCCUGGUGAACAAUUUUGGUGAAAUUAUUGUGUGACUGGUUAGUAAAGGAGAUGCAAGGAAGGUUUUGAUUUUGCACAGAUUGUCCAGUGCCGCCAGGAGGAGGAGCACAAGCCGUUGUGGUGUCGCUGGGCCACAACUAUGAAAGUUGUGAUCUACUUCUCUGUGGCGCUCGGCAUGGGACCAUAUCCGACGCUGCACCACGACGAGUUGAGGUGAGGAGGCUUUGAAGAAUUUGAAUGGAGCACAAACUCACUGUCUGCGUCCUUGCGACGUCAUGGCAUCGCUAUUGUCUGCAUUCCUGGUGAUUUCUUUUUUAUUUGCCGGAUGUUCUUUGUGUCCUAUAUUCCUUUCUUAUGUUUCUUUCUAUUAUUUGGUCUCAGGAUUGUUCUUACCGGUUGUUUGUUUCAUACCUCAGAUCAUCUAAUCUACCUCUGUUUGCCUACCUUCUACUUCUCCGUUGAUGAAUCCCUGUUGUUUUCAAGUUGGCAAAAGUCUGUGUUUCGUUUGUGUGCCCCUGCAGAUUAGAGCGCAUGAGAAGCAACUGCAUUUCUUGUUUUAACCUCCUAUUCUCCUGAUGCAGAUGGAAACCAGAUGCAGGUCCACAGGAGAUGUUGUGUCCUUGUGAGCAGCAUUUUUUUCCGUAUCUAGAUUUAUUAGGUGCCUCAUGUGCUAUUUAGAGAUAGGCAUGCCCUUUUCCUGGCCGACCUGCGUUGCGUCGCACGUCUUCCUGCACAUUGUGUUCCGCCUUGGUUUCUUCAUGGUCAUGGAGGAUGCCAGCCAGCGGGGUGCAGCUCC